UUUAAAGGCUUUCUAAAGCCUCAGUAAAGAGUACCAGCCUCUAGUAACAUGACAGGCAUGUUACCUGAAUAUAAACUAAUGACCAUGUUCCUAGCUCUACAGUGCUGGCAUUUAUCAAGAGAAGACACACAGUACAGCCUUGCAUAAAUAAUGGCACUAGGCCAAGUACAGCUGAGGUGGUUGCCAGCACAACUCCAUUGAGGUCCAAAGGAAUCGCACCAUGGAGAGGCAGCAGAAGUUUGGCUCCACAAAACAGUAUUGCCACCUUAAAGAUGACAUCAGCUCUCCUGGAUCCAGAGCUACUGUGUGAGGGUAUUGCCUUCUGGCCCAUGUCUCCCUUUCCCUUCAAGACUACAAAGGCAUGCGUGUCAAAGAAGAGGGAGCACAUAAUGACUCCUGCUCUGUCACAGAGAAGCAAAGAAGGCCACUGUUCUUGCAUGUCUUGUACACUUUUUCUCUGACAAGAUAUCAGAUUUUCUUGAUGUCAUUACUUGUUCCUUACAAUGCUGAUGUCUACUGGCUGCUUAAUGAGAUUUUGAAUGACAGCCUCUGCAUCCUAAACAGAGGGUAUAAGUAUUUACAGUAUUUGAAUAAAUAUUCAGCAGAUCAGGAAGUAAAUGGAGGUGGAGAAAGGUGUUCUCUCUCUUACAAACAUCCAAAGCUAAUCUCAUCUUGUCCAGGACCUAGAAACACGUUUAUGCUUAAAUCUUCAUGUUUUUCACUCCAAAGCACUUAUUUUACCAAUCUUAAGACAAGGUAACAGAGUCUGCCUUGAUCUAACUCGACUGUGUAAUUCAGCCAGUGGUUACCUUUGAACGCAGGAAAUGUUAUGGUGAGUUUUUCUUUGCAAGGUAGCCAUAGGUAAUGGAAAUAUGGAGAUUUUACUGUUUGCCACAGCAAGAGUAAUCCUGUGAUAAAAUCAAGCCUUUUGUUUCUUUAUCUUCUCUCCCUUUCUUUUGUUUCUUUCCCUCACCCCUCACCCCGGUGAAUUUGUAUAUGACAAGAGGCAGUAACCUGAACUGCAAAGUUCACAUCAGUUAUUGAAUAUAGGAUAAUACUGGUGUCAUGAUUUGUGUGUUGCUUGAGUCAAAGUUCUGCUGGCUGAAAACAGCUUUCCCUUAACCAUACUAGCUCUGUCAUCUCCCAGCAGCAACAACAAAUGGCAGCAAAAAAGAAACUUCAGAGUGCUUUUUCACCCACUGAUUCCUAUUUCCAGGUAGUCAGGUAUUGUGAAUUUGACUGAAAGAAGAAGUUAUUCAUGGUUUUUAGUCUUUCAGCCUCUGACUAAUAAACCUUCUUCAUUUUCAAAGGGGAGAGAACUGAUAAGCUUGUUGACCAAUUCUCUUAUUUCUAGCCCAAGAAGGUUGGUUUUUCAGCAUGGCUAUACCAGUACUUAUGACAGAACAGAGGACAGUCAACCAGGUAAUCAUCCCCUUGGUGCAGAGCUAGUGUUUGCAGAAAGUUCGGGUAAUUUGAUGGCUGUAGUGCUGAAAAGGCAUUGUUUUCUCAGGGCAUCCAGAAAUCAUCUGCUAUGUGGUCAGUUUACUAACUGAUUAUUAAUAACUAAUAACUCUAAUUACUAAUAACUCUGCUGGGCUUUCAGACAAUGUUAAGAAUUAUGCUUAUUCAGUAUUUAAAUUGCAGGGUUGUUUGAUAUUGUAUGGAGGACAAAGAUUUUGAUUUCAAGAAAACUGAACCGGUGCUAAACUGACACAACAUUAUUCAACUUUUCUUGAGCAUGGGAUUUUUAAAGAGUAAACAAGUAAAUAUAAAAUAUGAAAAAGUUGUAUUAACUGCCUCCUGAAGAGGUGGCAGCUUCCCUAGAAAACAGGUUCUAGAUCCAGAGGAGGGUGAAAUCUUCCUUAUGCUCACAAGGCAAGCGAUUUACCAGUGACAUAGAUUAUAGCAUGGACAGGCUGUCCUUCUAAGUAAAACCCUCUUUUUUUUCCAGGAAACGGGGUAAAUGUGGAAAAGAAGGAAAUGAACCCAUUGUGUCUGAGAUAGCUUCCCAGGAUCAAAUGCCCCCCUGCAUGAACCUUUGCAUGUAUUUAUGAAACGGUAUUUCUCUUUGACAGGGCACAAAUGAACUCAGCAGCUCAGUUAUUACUAUGCCAGAGCUUUAUAACACUCUUUAUGUGCUUCUCAAUACGAUUGUGUAUUUCCUGUCUCUAUACAUUCCUCUCUAACUGUUAGUGUCAAAAUAUUAUUCUGCUCCUAUUGUGGCCAAUAUCAGCUGGAAUUUUGUCAUUUACUUUGAGGAAGAGAGGUCAAAUUAAUAUUUGUUACUGAGAAAAGCUUCUUCGCAUAAUAUGAGACCCUGUGCAUCACUCAGUGUUCCUGUGAAAGAAGAAGCAUGCCCAAAACCACACAUAGUCAAAGGCAAUAGAAAGAAACUCACUUUCUAAGGUUAUAGUCUUUUCUACAUCACACAGUGGUUCUUGAUGUCUUUUCUGCUCUAAAAUCAUGUUACUAAAGGACACAUGUGAGACAGCAGGUCAAAUUGGAAGAAAUGCACCGUUUAGAUCUGAAAAGAGCCUUCAGCUACAAUGGGGUCAACACCUCAGAAUACAAGAAGAAACAUUUUUAUAACAACACUCAAUAGAAUUUAUCAUUUCUUUGUAAUUCAAACCAGAAU